UUAAGUUAUUAAGGGCGCACGGUGGAUGCCUUGGCACUAGAAGCCGAUGAAGGACGUUACUAACGACGAUAUGCUUUGGGGAGCUGUAAGUAAGCUUUGAUCCAGAGCUUUCCGAAUGGGGAAACCCAGCAUGAGUUAUGUCAUGUUAUCGAUAUGUGAAUACAUAGCAUAUCAGAAGGCACACCCGGAGAACUGAAACAUCUUAGUACCCGGAGGAAGAGAAAGAAAAUUCGAUUCCCUUAGUAGCGGCGAGCGAAACGGGAAGAGCCCAAACCAACAAGCUUGCUUGUUGGGGUUGUAGGACACUCUAUACGGAGUUACAAAGGACGACAUUAGACGAAUCAUCUGGAAAGAUGAAUCAAAGAAGGUAAUAAUCCUGUAGUCGAAAAUGUUGUCUCUCUUGAGUGGAUCCUGAGUACGACGGAGCACGUGAAAUUCCGUCGGAAUCUGGGAGGACCAUCUCCUAAGGCUAAAUACUCUCUAGUGACCGAUAGUGAACCAGUACCGUGAGGGAAAGGUGAAAAGCACCCCGGAAGGGGAGUGAAAUAGAACCUGAAACCGUGUGCUUACAAGUAGUCAGAGCCCGUUAAUGGGUGAUGGCGUGCCUUUUGUAGAAUGAACCGGCGAGUUACGAUUUGAUGCAAGGUUAAGCAGUAAAUGUGGAGCCGUAGCGAAAGCGAGUCUGAAUAGGGCGUUUAGUAUUUGGUCGUAGACCCGAAACCAGGUGAUCUACCCUUGGUCAGGUUGAAGUUCAGGUAACACUGAAUGGAGGACCGAACCGACUUACGUUGAAAAGUGAGCGGAUGAACUGAGGGUAGCGGAGAAAUUCCAAUCGAACCUGGAGAUAGCUGGUUCUCUCCGAAAUAGCUUUAGGGCUAGCCUCAAGUGAUGAUUAUUGGAGGUAGAGCACUGUUUGGACGAGGGGCCCCUCUCGGGUUACCGAAUUCAGACAAACUCCGAAUGCCAAUUAAUUUAACUUGGGAGUCAGAACAUGGGUGAUAAGGUCCGUGUUCGAAAGGGAAACAGCCCAGACCACCAGCUAAGGUCCCAAAAUAUAUGUUAAGUGGAAAAGGAUGUGGCGUUGCCCAGACAACUAGGAUGUUGGCUUAGAAGCAGCCAUCAUUUAAAGAGUGCGUAAUAGCUCACUAGUCGAGUGACACUGCGCCGAAAAUGUACCGGGGCUAAACAUAUUACCGAAGCUGUGGAUUGUCCUUUGGACAAUGGUAGGAGAGCGUUCUAAGGGCGUUGAAGCAUGAUCGUAAGGACAUGUGGAGCGCUUAGAAGUGAGAAUGCCGGUGUGAGUAGCGAAAGACGGGUGAGAAUCCCGUCCACCGAUUGACUAAGGUUUCCAGAGGAAGGCUCGUCCGCUCUGGGUUAGUCGGGUCCUAAGCUGAGGCCGACAGGCGUAGGCGAUGGAUAACAGGUUGAUAUUCCUGUACCACCUAUAAUCGUUUUAAUCGAUGGGGGGACGCAGUAGGAUAGGCGAAGCGUGCGAUUGGAUUGCACGUCUAAGCAGUAAGGCUGAGUAUUAGGCAAAUCCGGUACUCGUUAAGGCUGAGCUGUGAUGGGGAGAAGACAUUGUGUCUUCGAGUCGUUGAUUUCACACUGCCGAGAAAAGCCUCUAGAUAGAAAAUAGGUGCCCGUACCGCAAACCGACACAGGUAGUCAAGAUGAGAAUUCUAAGGUGAGCGAGCGAACUCUCGUUAAGGAACUCGGCAAAAUGACCCCGUAACUUCGGGAGAAGGGGUGCUCUUUAGGGUUAACGCCCAGAAGAGCCGCAGUGAAUAGGCCCAAGCGACUGUUUAUCAAAAACACAGGUCUCUGCUAAACCGUAAGGUGAUGUAUAGGGGCUGACGCCUGCCCGGUGCUGGAAGGUUAAGAGGAGUGGUUAGCUUCUGCGAAGCUACGAAUCGAAGCCCCAGUAAACGGCGGCCGUAACUAUAACGGUCCUAAGGUAGCGAAAUUCCUUGUCGGGUAAGUUCCGACCCGCACGAAAGGCGUAACGAUUUGGGCACUGUCUCAACGAGAGACUCGGUGAAAUCAUAGUACCUGUGAAGAUGCAGGUUACCCGCGACAGGACGGAAAGACCCCGUGGAGCUUUACUGUAGCCUGAUAUUGAAAUUCGGCACAGCUUGUACAGGAUAGGUAGGAGCCUUUGAAACGUGAGCGCUAGCUUACGUGGAGGCGCUGGUGGGAUACUACCCUAGCUGUGUUGGCUUUCUAACCCGCACCACUUAUCGUGGUGGGAGACAGUGUCAGGCGGGCAGUUUGACUGGGGCGGUCGCCUCCUAAAAGGUAACGGAGGCGCUCAAAGGUUCCCUCAGAAUGGUUGGAAAUCAUUCAUAGAGUGUAAAGGCAUAAGGGAGCUUGACUGCGAGACCUACAAGUCGAGCAGGGUCGAAAGACGGACUUAGUGAUCCGGUGGUUCCGCAUGGAAGGGCCAUCGCUCAACGGAUAAAAGCUACCCCGGGGAUAACAGGCUUAUCUCCCCCAAGAGUUCACAUCGACGGGGAGGUUUGGCACCUCGAUGUCGGCUCAUCGCAUCCUGGGGCUGUAGUCGGUCCCAAGGGUUGGGCUGUUCGCCCAUUAAAGCGGUACGCGAGCUGGGUUCAGAACGUCGUGAGACAGUUCGGUCCCUAUCCGUCGUGGGCGUAGGAAAUUUGAGAGGAGCUGUCCUUAGUACGAGAGGACCGGGAUGGACAUACCUCUGGUGUACCAGUUGUCGUGCCAACGGCAUAGCUGGGUAGCUAUGUGUGGACGGGAUAAGUGCUGAAAGCAUCUAAGCAUGAAGCCCCCCUCAAGAUGAGAUUUCCCAACUUCGGUUAUAAGAUCCCUCAAAGAUGAUGAGGUUAAUAGGUUCGAGGUGGAAGCAUGGUGACAUGUGGAGCUGACGAAUACUAAUCGAUCGAAGACUUAAUCAA
rnacentral:rRNA from 2 species